ensembl:lncRNA
CACAGGAGCGCGGCGACAGCUGCUGCCAGCCACGUCCCGUGGACCCGGAGCCGCUCGCCUCCCUCGGGAAAGGCCGGGAUAGAGAAAAAGGGGGUUGUGUGCACGCACGGGUGCAGCUGGAAACGGCAAAGCCCGAGCAUCUUGCAGGAGGUGUUUUGGGCAGAAACUGCAGUGUUUGCUGCACUCACGCCUGAGCGCCCAAUUGCUCCACGCCUGAGCACCCAGCUAAUCCAUGCCUGAGCACCCAGCUGCGGCGUGCACGGCCCAUGCACGGGCACCUGAUUGUCCAUGCUUGAGCACCCAAUUAGCUCGUUCCCAAGCACUGUUUGGGGCAUACGCAGCACGUUUUGGCAGUGCGGGGGGGGGAGGGGGAGGCCAUGCCUGCCUUGUGGCACUGGUGCCCCCAGACAGCAGUUUCGGGGAGCUCGGCGGGAUGACGCCUCCCUCGCCGUGGGAUGUGGCUGGGACGCCCGUGUCCAGCUCCAUCGCCCCCCUCUCCGCGGGUCCGGCUGCCUCCCGCUGGACCGUCCCUGGUGGCCGCUGGGUUUGCAGCCCACUUUCCAUGCGAAUUGGUGCCAGGCACCUGGGUGGGCAGCGCUGGACUGCGACGCUGGGGCUCAGCAGCGGGACCCCGCUUGGCUCYGUCCCUGCCUCAGUUUCCCCACCUGCAAAGCGAGGGCUCAGCGUGGGGCGGCCAGUGCUGAGCGCCUCGCCGGCGUCCCCACGGCCAGCGGGCCGCUUGCCAGGCAGGGAGGCAGCUCCRUGAAAAACAUCACGGACUAAUUUUAGGUGGGCUUGGGCACGCCGCGGCAAUCCCGUGAAUUUGUCACGGCUCGGGAGGGAGCAAGCGGGGCCAUCGGCACUUAUUAAGGCUUCUGCAAGGGACGCUUGGUUAUUACCUGGCUACUAAUCCUCCUUUAAUACGGUUCGGGUAUUUACUGCGCGCGGUAACCAUUGCAUUAAAUCUAAAUGAAAUGUGCGUUUUGGAGGAGCGCCGAUGCCCGGGGCCGGAGACGAGGGCUCCGUUGUGCGAGGCCCCGCGGGGAGGUGGGUUUCGGGGACGUGCAAGGGGGCUGGGUGCCUGGUGGGUGCGCCCGGCCUCUCCGCCCUGCGGGCCGGCUCCCUCCUCGUGCCGGCGCUCUGGGAUUUUGGGGUUGACCUCUCGCGUGCCGCAGCCUGGCAGGAGCACGCAGCGAYGCUGCACGGCGCAGCCGCGACUGAAAGCCCCGGGGCUCGGAGAAGGCGGGAGCCAGRUGGUGACGCCUGGCUUUCCAGGGCCGGAUUUCCACGGCAGGGUCCGGCCCUAGGAGCCAGGUUGGUGGCCGUGGCGGGGUCGCUUUUUGGCUGUGGUGCUUGGCGCUACGGAGCAGGUGGAGAAGACCUGGGCCAUCGCUUCCGUGUGGCUGCCGCGUGUGUUGCAGGGAUUUUGCAAAAGCUCCUGGCGCGGUUGCUCCUGUAACCCCGCUCUGCGCUUCGCUCCCGUUAUCUGGCGAUCUCAAAGCACGCGACGCCCGUUAAUUAACCAAGCCUUGCCGCAAGGAAAGACGGACGAGCGCGGGGCGGCCGCGGGUCCGGGUUUGCGGCUGGAGUGACGCAGCCCCGCUGACCGGCACCGGCGGUGUCCCCCUCCCAGCGUGCGCCCAGGCCCGGAGCUGCGGGGCCGAAAGAUGAGCAAGCCAAGUUAUCCCGACUCUGGAAAGCCUGCAAGGGGUCGAGGUUUCGCCUGCACCCGGACGCAAGCCGUCUC